GAGGGAGUGGGAAGACGCCACACACUUUUAAACAACCAGAUCUUGUGAGAACCCACUCACUAUUGUGAGAACAGUACCAAGGGGAUGGUACUACACCAUUCACGAGAAACUGCCCCCAUGAUCCAAUCAGCUCCCGCCAAGCCCCACUUCCAACAUUGGGGAUUGAAUUUCAACAUGCAAUUUGGGUAGGGACAUAGAGCCAAACUAUAUUAGGUGUGCUCGUCUAGGGAUGAAGGUACUGAAUCUCUCAAUAAUAAUAAUACCAACAUUUUGGGUCAAACUCUGUACAGAUGGUCCCUGACUUCUGGUGGUGUGACAGUGAUAUGCCCUCAGCCAAAAGCAUACUUCAAGGACCCAUACAACCAUUCUGGUUUUCACUUUUAGUACAGCAUUCAAUACAUUACAUGAGCUCUUCAACACUUACUAUAAAAUAGACUUUGUGUUAGAUGAUCUUGCCCAACUGUAGGCUAAUGUAAGGGUUCUGAGCACAUUUACAGGCUAAGCCGUGAUGUUUGGUAGGUUAGGUGUAUUAAAUGCAUCUUUGACUUCCAGUGGGUUUAUUAUGAUGUAACCCCAUUGUAAGUCUAGGAGCAUCUGUACUAUCCCCAACUUAUAGAUGAGAAAACUGGGGUUUAUAGAGUUUAGGCAGUGUAUUAGUUUUCUAUUUUGACUGUAAUUACUUAGUGGGUUAAAACAAUACAUUAAUUAUCUUACGUUCUGCAUGUUAGAAGUCCAAAAGGAGUCUCACUGGGUUAAAUCAAUGUGUCAGCGGGGCUGCAUUCUCUUCCUCUCUUCCUCUUGGGGUGAAUCUAUUUCCUUGUCUUUUCCAGCUACCCGCCUUUCUUAGCUCCUGGCUCCUUCUUCCGUCUCAAAGCCAGCAAUGGUCCUUAUCAAAUCAAGAGGAGCCUCAGUGAGAUCUGGCAUGGAACAUGGAUUUCCAGCUCAAUACCAGUGUUGGAUAAGAUUUUUGGAGCGUCCUAGGGAUGCAGAACGAGAAUUGGGUGGGGAAGUGUAAAUGACAAACUUAAACCCCCAUCAACAGGGACGAGUUCAGUAAAUCAUGGAGUGGAGAUGGAAGAAAUGAAUCACCUAUUCCACAUGUCUUGAUUCCAGUGGAUGCACACUGAAGAGGCAGCCAACCCGUGCCAAGAGAAUACUUCAUGCCUUGCAGCACACUGGAGCUACGGGGGCUUGGGCCAUACCCUGCUCUAACUAGUAGGCUUGCAGGGCCAGACUCCCCAUUGCUUGUAUUAGCACCAAGAUUCAUACACUGGGCACAUUUGUUUAGUCAGGGCUUGUAUUAGUGUGCUAGGGCUGCCAUAGCAAAAGGACCACAGACUGGGUGGCUUAAACAACAGAAAUUAAUUUGUCAUAGUUCUGGGAGCUGGAAGUACAAAGUCAAAGUGUGGGCAGGGGCAGCUUCUGCUGGGACCUCUUUCUUUGGCUAGUAGAUGGCCAUCUUCUUCUCCCCAUGUCUUCACAUGGUCUUCCC